GUCUUGGGUAAAUCGUCUUUGGGUAAUUCGUCUUUGGGUAAUUCGUCUAUGGGUAAUUCAUCUAUGGGUAAUUCGUCUCUCUGGUUGUUGAAAGUGUGUACACACUGAAAACAUCACGAACAUAGAAAAUGCACAUAUUGGACCUCUUAAUAGAUAUAUAUAUAGGGGGUAUGUGGAGGGGGAUAAACAUAAACAUACUAGAUAUUCAGAGGAGAGGGACUACUGACAUACAUAUACUAAUACUCUGAGGAGGGGACUACUGACAUAAGUAUACUAUACUCUGAGGAGGGGGACUACUGACAUAAGUAUACUAUACUCUGAGGAGGGGACUACUGACAUAAGUAUACUAUACUCUGAGGAGGGGACUAACACAAAUACAUACAUUCUGAGGAGGGGUAAUAUAAAUAUACUGCAUUGCUCUGACAUAAAUAUACUAAAACACUCUGAGUAGGGGGACUCCUGACAUAAGUAUACUAAAACACUCUGAGUAGGGGAACUCCUGACAUAAAU
rnacentral:lncRNA from 1 species